rnacentral:tRNA from 1 species
GUAUAACUCAGUAGUAAAGUGCUUGCCUAGCAAGCAUGAGGCCCUGAGUUCAAACCUCAGUAC